rnacentral:misc_RNA from 1 species
ACAUCAUUUUAUCGUAACUUAAGUAUUUAGCAUAUUUUGGAAAUUCGAUUGUAAUUAUGUGGUACUUUUUUUAUUGCUGAUGAAAUAUAAAAAAGAAAUUCUAAUAUCGGAGAAAACAUCGUCAUCUUGUCCUAAUUUGUUUCCAAAAUGGCGGCCCAUGCAGCGGCGGCUCUGUUGGAUGAAUUAAUGGGAAGGGACCGAAAUUUGCAGCCCACUGAAAAGAGAAGUGAAUUGAAAUGGGAUGAUCCAGAAGUUUGCAAAUACUUUUUGUGUGGGUUUUGUCCUCAUGAGUUGUUUGUUAAUACAAGAGCAGAUCUUGGAAAUUGUGAAAAAAUUCAUGAUGAUGUAUUACGAAAAGAGUAUACGAAAAGUGGUCGGUUUGAAAAAAUGGGAUAUGAGGAAGAAUUUAUGCGUUUCCUUCAAACUUUGAUUUCUGAUGUUGAAAGAAGGAUUCGAAGGGGCCAUCAGCGCUUAGCCUUGAAUAGUACCCAAGGAACACCUUCAAGCAAUGCUGCUGCUCUGAAAGAAGAAAAAGUUGCCAUGUUAACUGAACGGAUUAAUGAUUUAGUUCAACAGGCAGAAAAUUUGGGUUGUGAAGGAAAAGUUGAAGAAGCUCAAGGUGUUAUGAAAUUAUGUGAUUUACUAAGAGAGGAGAGGAAAGUUUUAGAAAAUCAAACCCGGCAAAACAGUCAAACGCCAGAAAGUGAAAAAACCAUGGAAGUGUGUAAUGUAUGUGGUGCACUCCUUGUUGUUGGAGACAUUCAGCAGCGUAUUGAUGAACAUAUCAUGGGAAAACAGCAUUCUGGUUAUGCCAGAAUCAGAACGUAUGUUGAAGAAAGAAAGCAGAGAAAGUUACAAUCUGCAGAAGAAAGAGAAGCCAGACUUGUCAGAGAGAAAGAAGAACGUGAAAAAGAAAGAGAGCGGGAAAAAGAGAAAGAACGAGAAGAGAAACGUAGGAAAGAAAAGGAAAGGGAGAAAGAAAGGGAGAGGCAAAGAGAACGAGAAAAAAGACGACGGCGUAGCCGUAGUCGAACCAGGAGGAGUAGAAGCAGAGAAAGGAAGAGACGUUCCAGAAGCCAUGGUCAUCGAUCUCAAAGAUCAAGUAGUAGAGAAAAACAUAAAAUUGCUCGUCGGCAUCGUUCACGGAGUCAUUCUAGUUCUAGAAGCCAUUCCUCUCGUCAGUCAAAUCAUCAUAGAAGGUCUCGGAGUAGAGAAUUUAAACAUAGAUCAGGUAGUAAAGAACCCAAAUACAGAUCACGGAGUCCUGAUUCUAAAAAUGGCUCACCUAGCUAUGAACUAAGUAAAUAUCAUUCAAGGAGUCAUGAACUUAAACAUCGCUCUGGUAGUCAGGAUUCAAGUUAUCGGUCAUUCAGCCAAGAAACCAGGCAGUACUCAAAUAGUAAUGAUUCGAAGCAGCGACCAGGCAAUAAUUGUGACAGGAAAAUUUUAUAUUUAGAAAAUGAUAAGCAGUUAAUGUACAACGAUGACAACACCCAGCAUAUGGAGAUGAUGCACUAUGAUAAAUAUGAAGAUGGUGAAAUUCCAUCAGACAGCCGUGCUGAUAUUGAUGAUAGUAAUGAAGAGACUGGCACACAUUCUGAAGGUGACACUAAAUGAAUGAUUGAUCUAGCCUGCUUCUGAUCAACCCAUGCUGGUAAGUGACUGUCUAAUGGUUUACCUGAUCUUGCUUUCAGCUCAUUCAGAGGUAAGUGGUGACCUCUACUGGCAUGCAUCCGUCCGUCUGUCUAUUUGUUCGUCCAUUGGAGUUGAGCAAGAGACACCAAGCUAAUAGACGGCAGCCACUCAAAUAUGUUGGUCUGUAAACUAAAACAGACUGUCAUGGCACUUCUAAACAAUAUACUUGGUAAAUGUCAUCAGCACCUACUGUUCCCUGUGCUCCCCCACCCCUUAAACCUGUAUUCAUCCUUUAGUAUAUUUAAUAGAUUUUCUUCCUGCCAUUAUAGUCCCAUUCAUGGAUCUGUGUUCAAGGUCGAUAAUGAAUUGGCUGAUAAUCGAAGAACUGGUAAACAUAUCUUAAUCUGUUGCUGCUUGUAAUUUUUGUUAAUGAUAAUGUGUGUGAAUGAAGAAUGCUUUGAUAUUGUCCAUAAUAAUACUGGUAUCGAAUUAAGAUAAUUCUUAAUAGUGAUGUCAUCAAAAGGGAUAAUUGUGUUACAGUUCUUUUUCAUUUUGUGGAAUAGGAAUUUUGUAGUUUUUAGAAAAAUAAUCACAGAAAAUACUAACAUCAAUUUUACUUGAUUUGAAAACUGGUAGAAUUACAAUAAUUUUAUUUUAACUUAGCUGAAGCUCGACUCAUUUGAGGAGUGUGGGAAAAUCACUUAUUCCUUCAAAAAUUAGCCAGAUUGAGUUUCUUAAUUCAUUUUUAGUCUUUCAAUCUCAAUUUCUCUAAUUACUCAAUAUAGCAUUGACAUUUUAUAUAUUUCAUUUUAAUAUCAUUUGAUGUCUAAAAUGAAUACAUGAAUGUUGUGUAAUUUAAAGAAACGCUUUCUUUCUUUCUUUUAUACAUAACAUUGAGUAUAGGUAUGAAAUAUAAGCUAGCCAAUGUUUUGCUAUUCAAACUUGACUGCAAAAUCAGAUUAAAUUAACUCUUUAUGUUUACUUCCAAAUAAUUAAAAAAAAUCUCCAGUUUGAGAAUGUCUCUGAAACAUAAAAAUGUGUACUUGAAAAGAGCAAUAUAUUUUAUUCUAAUAAAUACUUUAAGCAUAGACUAAAAACACCCCCAAAACUUAGAUUUUAUCAACUUUCUUAUAUAAUAGUUAUUUACUGCUCCAUCAAAAUAACUCUGCUGGAAAAAAAAAAAUUUACAAAAACCUACAUCAAAAUUUGAUUUUAUAAACAAAGUAAAACUUAGUCACUUCACUUUUUUUCUUCUUUUUAAACAUAUUACAAAGUUUUUAACCACUGCAUCAAUAAACAUGAAAAAAAUCUGGGUUUAAUGUUAUUUGUGAAUGGGGCCUUAAUAUUUUAUUUUCCUGCACAGACACCAUCAUCAUUCCAGUGGUUUUAUUAUAAGCACAUGCCUAUAGUCUGACCAGUUUCUUUUCUGAUACAGACAGAUUUCUAUUUAUGCAGUUCUAUCAAUCUUUGUCAGCACCAUGUUUGAAUUGCUCGGUUGCCAAUGUUGAGAGCAUUGCUUUGACUACCAAUCUGUUACAUGAGACCACGGUGCCUCAAUGCUUCCUCGACACCAGUGAUGCUUGCCUCUCUAUACAGGUAUUUCUUUGGUCUUAGAUAAUUGAUAUGUAAGCGGCUUCAUUUAUACUAUCUUCCCUGCUGAAUUCUGUUUUGUGCAGAUUUGUAUAUAUUUACUUGGAGAAAUAAAAUUCAUUUCCAUGUUAUGUUGAAUGUAUGAUUUAGGUUGUGAUAGAUGUUUUAGCCAAGAGUGUGUGUGUAUGUUUGCGUUCAUAUACCAGCAACACACUCUAAAUUGCCUUAUUCUGUGUUCUCAUUAGCAGAAGAAAUAUAAAAAAAGAUGAAUCUGAAAUAUAUGUUAAUGCUUCCACAUUGGGGAUUUACACUUUCUCUUUCAGAUCUUAAGGUAAGUGAAAAGCCAGGAUUCUGAUAGUGUAUCCUGAGUUGAUGGCCUUCUGCAUUUAGAAUUAAAAGGGAACAAACUUGCAAAUGUAACAGUAUUUAAAGAUAGGUAGCCUGAGAUUUUUGGAGUUGAAACAAAAGAAUCAUUUCCUUUGGUUUAUCUACUUACAUAUUUAAUUUCAAGAUAUAUUCAAAUAAAAUAUUAGCUUCGAGUAGUGUAUCAGUUGAAAUGGAUAUAACUAAAUACUUUAGAUUGAAGCAUACUAAAAGGAGUUAUGUAGUAUCAUAAAUUAUUUCUGUGUAAGAAUUGUUUGACAUGAAAUUGUAUUGUUAAAAUUCUUUUAACAAAUUACAAAAACAAUUUAUCGUAGAACAUACAGAAUGAUUUGUUAUUACAGUGGCUGGUGGUUAAAGCUUUGAAGAACUCACUUUAUGACCAUCAAAUCUUGAGCCAUUGUGUAUAACUCUUGGACAGAAAUAUAACAACUUUACUUACAGCAGUUACCUGCUUAAUACCAGGCUCUAUUCCUACUUUGUUGGGUAGGUACACUACCUAGUUGAAAAGUACUUGUGCUAACAUGGGAAAAUAAAUAUAAAGCUACAUGAAGAUGCUGAUAUUUUGAGAGAAAUUCUAAUUAUAUUUUAAAGAUAUAUUUUCAAAAUUUAUUAAAUAUUUCAUGUAAUUAUUCAGUAAUAAUUUUUUUCACAUAAUUUAUAGUAAAAAGCUCCAUUUAUAAAACAUGGGCACCAAGCAUUUAACUGAUGUGACAAAGCCUUGGAUUUUAUGGAUAGGCUUUUCAGUGUGCUUUUCCUGCUUAACUGAUAGAUAUUUUUGUAAUUGGAAAAGUAUGUCAUUUUCAUACUGUGCUUUAGUUUGUCACUUAACUAUGCCAGCAUGGUAAAACCAGUGCAAGAUUGCAGCUGAGACUAGUUUGAAGGAUUACAAUAAUAUUUCAUCUUAAAUUGGUGCAUCAUUCCCUGUUUGUUCCUGAAAGUAUUACGCUGGUUUCACUCAGGCUAUGCCAGCCACAAAUGCAUUAACUAUAUCAACUCGAUACUCAUCAAUCUGCUGAUAUCAACUUCUUUUUACAGCAUUUUCUGAUUUUCAACCACAAAUGGCUCAAAACUUAUUGCAAUGUAGAUUGCUUGCUAACAGCUGUUGUCUUUGUUCAUUUUCAUCUAUUGGUAUGAGUACAAGUUUGGAGUGUAUUGGCAGCAGGCAGAGAACAGUUUUAUUUGAGGUAUGGCUACAUUUAUUCUGCUCUGUCACACUGAAGAUAAGCAAUCCUAAUGAGGAGUUUUCACUCACCACUUCUGUAGUCCGUCAUAUUCCAUUGAUGCCCCUUGUUCCCAUUUUUGAAUUUUCUCAAACCAAGAUUUCGAUGUUGCAGUCACAAUCUCGUCAUAUUUUUCUGCCAAAAUAGAGUUUUGAGUUGAUUACUCUAUUGGCAUAAUAAUAUUGGUAUUACAAACUUUUUUUCAUAUUGAAACUUUCAGAUUAAAUUCGAAUAUUAGAGGUCAUUGUUUGAUUGAAUUUUUUUUUUGCAGUUUUGAAGAAUUUGCAUGGCUUUUUUUUUUUAAAUGUAUGAAAAAGACAUGUUGCCAAUUUCAAUUUUUCUAGAUAUUUUAGUUUUAACAGGUUUGAUUAAUUAUUUCUUGAUCCCUUUCUUUUAAAUGGGCAUAUGCUUAUUACUAGUGCUAAUUUCUAUUUUACUGUAUAUCUAUUUAGCUCUAGUAUUUAGCUAUUCUUUUUCUACUGAUGAUUUCAUAAUGUAAAUUUUAUUCAGUUAUUGACUGGCCAGACUGGUGAUAAAGUGAAGGAUAUUAUUACUGAAAUUAGUUAUGUAUAUUUAUAUCACCACAAAAACUAUUUGAAUAUAGUUACACUAAAUAUACCUGAAAUUUUACACAUACACAUGCGCGCAUGCACACACACACACACACACAAAGUUUUUUAUAAAUUAGAAUGUUGUUUUCCUUAUUAGCAUAAACCAACCUUUUGAAAGUUUCAUUUUUUUAAAAAUUUCCCCAUUGAUUAUUUAAUUUACUUUUCAAAAUUAUAUUACAAAAGUCCACUUAAUUGGGUUCAGAAUUGGUCAGAAUUGCUAUUUUGUAAUAAUCUAUCAAAAUUAAAUUAUUUAUUUCAAUUUUAUUUAUUUAUUGGUCAUUUUUUUAAUCUUUUAACAGUAGGGCAUUUUUAUAGUAUUUCUUGGUUCAACAACUUCAGUUUCAAUAGGUUAUUUGCAUGUGUUGACUUCAACUAUGAUAUAUUCUUCACACUUUCAUUGUUUCCAAGUUUUAGUAAAACUAUUUAAAUGUAGAUAGUUGAAAUGUUCCCUAUAUGAAAGCUGAAUUACUAGUUGUUCAUCACUGGCCAUCAUGUCUUUUAGAUGGUUUGUAUUAAAGGUAUUCUCUUGUUACCAGCUUUCUACUCAAUGUUUGCUGAUCGUGGGAGUGAGUACUGCAUGUAUGGAUUUGAUGAGCAUACAGAGUGAAAUGACAGCACCACCACCAUUUGAACUGUGUUAUUUCCUUUGCUGUAAACCAGUUGAAACAGUCCUGAUGAUGAGAAUAGUGUCAUUAUUAAGAUAAUCAACACCUUAGCCAUGCCAGGAUUGAAACCAGCUAUUCAAAUAGGUAUUUCUACUUAAAAAGAACCAGAGGUAUGUGAAAUAGGUACCUACUGUCUCCUCCUCUUAUUCCUCACUGUAGUGUCAGAUGGUUGUUCCUGUUUUUCCUCUGGUAUAUAACUGACAACUGCUCUUGCUGCUGUUCUAUUAUUCACUGGUUAGAAUAGCACUCCAUGCAGUGUAGUCUUUUCAUACAGUUUUGACUGUUUCUGUCCAUUCAUUUUGUUAUAAAUGGUCUUGCUAAUUUUUUUUUUAAUGUAUUUCUUCUAUAAAGAAGCAAUAAAAUACAUUUUGCUCUUUUUUA